GACGAACGCUGGCGGCGUGCUUAACACAUGCAAGUCGAACGGAAAGGCCCCCUUGUGGGGUACUCGAGUGGCGAACGGGUGAGUAACACGUGAGUAACCUACCCUUGACUUUGGGAUAACUUCAGGAAACUGGGGCUAAUACCGGAUAGGAGCUCCUGCUGCAUGGUGGGGGUUGGAAAGUUUCGGCGGUUGGGGAUGGACUCGCGGCUUAUCAGCUUGUUGGUGGGGUAGUGGCUCACCAAGGCUUUGACGGGUAGCCGGCCUGAGAGGGUGGCCGGCCACAUUGGGACUGAGAUACGGCCCAGACUCCUACGGGAGGCAGCAGUGGGGAAUAUUGCACAAUGGGCGGAAGCCUGAUGCAGCAACGCCGCGUGCGGGAUGACGGCCUUCGGGUUGUAAACCGCUUUCGCCUGUGACGAAGCGUGAGUGACGGUAAUGGGUAAAGAAGCACCAGCUAACUACGUG
rnacentral:rRNA from 1 species